rnacentral:rRNA from 1 species
AAUUACCCAAUCCUGACACAGGGAGGUAGUGACAAGAAAUAACAAUACAGGGCUUAAAGUCUUGUAAUUGGAAUGAUGGGAAUCUAAACCCUUCCCAGAGUAUCAAUUGGAGGGCAAGUCUGGUGCCAGCAGCCGCGGUAAUUCCAGCUCCAAUAGCGUAUAUUAAAGUUGUUGCAGUUAAGAAGCUCGUAGUUGAAUUUCUGCCUUGUCAUUAAUCUCGCUUCCGAGCGUUUUUUUAUUGAUUUGGCAUCUUCUGGAUUUGGUGCCUUCGGGUACUAUUUUCCAGGAUUUACUUUGAGAAAACUAGAGUGUUUCAAACAGGCAUUCGCCUUGAAUACUACAGCAUGGAAUAAUGAAGUAGGACUUUGGUUCUAUUUUGUUGGUUAUUGAGCCAGAGUAAUGGUUAAUAGGAGCAGUUGGGGGCAUUCGUAUUUAA